rnacentral:rRNA from 1 species
UGCAAGUCCGAAGCGGUAGAAGAAGAAGCUUGCCUUCCUCCUUGAGAAGCGGCGGACGGGUGAGUAAUGCCUAGGAAUCUGCCUGGUAGUGGGGGAUAACGUUCGGAAACGGACGCUAAUACCGCAUACGUCCUACGGGAGAAAGCAGGGGACCUUCGGGCCUUGCGCUAUCAGAUGAGCCUAGGUCGGAUUAGCUAGUUGGUGGGGUAAUGGCUCACCAAGGCGACGAUCCGUAACUGGUCUGAGAGGAUGAUCAGUCACACUGGAACUGAGACACGGUCCAGACUCCUACGGGAGGCAGCAGUGGGGAAUAUUGGACAAUGGGCGAAAGCCUGAUCCAGCCAUGCCGCGUGUGUGAAGAAGGUCUUCGGAUUGUAAAGCACUUUAAGUUGGGAGGAAGGGCAGUUACCUAAUACGUGAUUGUUUUGACGUUACCGACAGAAUAAGCACCGGCUAACUCUGUGCC